rnacentral:rRNA from 1 species
GAUGAACGCUGGCGGCGUGCCUAAUACAUGCAAGUCGAGCGAACAGACGAGGAGCUUGCUCCUCUGACGUUAGCGGCGGACGGGUGAGUAACACGUGGAUAACCUACCUAUAAGACUGGGAUAACUUCGGGAAACCGGGGCUAAUACCGGAUAAUAUAUUGAACCGCAUGGUUCAAUAGUGAAAGACGGUUUUGCUGUCACUUAUAGAUGGAUCCGCGCCGCAUUAGCUAGUUGGUAAGGUAACGGCUUACCAAGGCAACGAUGCGUAGCCGACCUGAGAGGGUGAUCGGCCACGCUGGAACUGAGACACGGUCCAGACUCCUACGGGAGGCAGCAGUAGGGAAUCUUCCGCAAUGGGCGAAAGCCUGACGGAGCAACGCCGCGUGAGUGAUGAAGGUCUUCGGAUCGUAAAACUCUGUUAUUAGGGAAGAGCAAAUGUGUAAGUAACUAUGCACGUCUUGACGGUACCUAAUCAGAAAGCCACGGCUAACUACGUG